CCCAAUUCUCUCUCUUUUUAAAGAUUCUACAUACAAAGGAGAUCUUACAGUAUUGAUUUCACUGUGUCUGGCUUUUCCAGUUACCAGAUGAGUGAGUUCUGGGGAUCUAACAUACAUUGUGGUGACUAUGGUUAAUAAUACUAUCUGGCAUACUACUUGAACUUUGGUAAGACAAUAGAUCUUAAAUGUUCUCACCACACAUACAAAUGUUAAUUAUGUGAGAUGAGAGAUGUGCUAAUUAACUUGAUUGUGCUUAUUUCAUAAUGUAUAUGUAUAUUAUAUCAUCAUGUUGUAUACCUUAAAUGCAUACAUUUUUUAACGUGUUUUUCUAAUUUUUUUUUUUUUUUUUUUUUUUUGAGACAGAGCUUCAGUCUGUCACCCAGGCUGCAGUGCAGUGGUGUGAUCACGGUUCGCUGCAGCCUCAACCUUGGACUCAAGUGAUCCUCCCACCUCAGUCUCCCAAGUAGCUUGGGACUACAGGCACGCACCACCACACCUGGUUAAUUUUUUAAUUUUUGUAGAGAUGGGGUCCCACUGUGUUGUCCAAGCUGGUCUUGAAUUCCUGGGCUCAAGCCCCGGGCCUCCCAAAGUUCUGGGAUUACAGGUGUGAGCUACUGCACCCGGACUACAAUUUUUGUCAAUUAUAUCUCAAUAAAGCAAUAACGCAAAAAUAAGCCAAAGCCCAUCUCUUUGGCUUGGUCCUCACUGCUUAUAAUUGAUCAGUUCUCUUGGGGAUUCUGAUUUUCUGUAACUAUAGUGUAUUACUUUACUCUUCAGCUUCCAGAAACUAGCAUGUAUAAGAACAAAUCUAUGAUAAAAAUUAUAUAUAUUGCCAACAGGUACACGGAAACAUAUCAAAGGGUGAAUGAGUUGAUGAUCACUGUAAUGCCAACUCCUGCCACAUCCUUCUCUGUAAAAGUCUACCAUUACUGAUAAAUAUUGAGCAAGUCAGUUUCAGAGGUGAAACUGAAAAAAGGCCCGAAAAAAGAACUCCGGCAUCUGGAAUAUAUAUAUUUGGUCACAUCUACGUGCUAUCUGCCAUAGGAAAAGAGCAGUCCCUUCAAGAGUAAAGUUUUGUUCCCAACGAACUGUGGCACCUACAUAGUCCAUCUGACACAUUUACUGACUCCAGUGAAUUUGGCUGUGGUUGAAGACCUCAGGCAAUUUUUUCUUCCUUGCUGUGAAAUAAUUGUCUAGAGACAGGAGAAUCCUCCAGAUGGCUAGUUAAAUACCUCCAGAAGGCCUGGGGCAUUGAUGAAUCUCUCUAAGGAUUUCUGUAGUUUACAAGUGGCUUUUGGUUGAAGAAUCUCAUUAUUCAGAUCCCUCAGAGUGGGAUCUCCAAGCUGGCGUAACUGUAAAGUAGAGCUGUAAAGGAAACUGUAAAGUAGAUAUGUGGUUGCAUCUCAGCAUUUCUGAGUAAAAACUCUCU
rnacentral:lncRNA from 1 species